GUCUACAGCCAUGCCACCCUGAACAAGCCUGAUGUCUGAUCUCGGAAACUAAGCAGUGUUGGGCCUGGUUAGUACUUGGAUGGGAGACCACCUAGGAAGUCCAGGUGUUGCAGACA
rfam:Pteropus alecto contig31528, whole genome shotgun sequence.